CCUCCCGUUCCGUACAUCCCGGUGUCGAUGUAGUAGUAGUAUCUGCACAGAGCUAGGGUCCAUCGGGCGUUUUAACGUAUUGCGCUACUCAGUGCUAUCGUGUUUUUAGUCUAGCGAGGAUUUGAGUGAAGCGCUCAGCAACAACCAGUUGGUCAAUUUUUCGUGGAAAGGCCGGUGUAAUACAAAAAUCCAUCCACCAUGGACGCGAUUAAGAAGAAGAUGCAGGCGAUGAAGCUUGAGAAGGACAAUGCUCAAGACAAAGCCGAUACCUGCGAGAAUCAGGCGAAGGAGGCCAACCUCCGCGCCGACAAGAUCAUGGAGGAGGUCGCUGAGUUGACCAAGCGUCUGACUCAGGUCACCAGUGACCACGAAACCUUCAAGGCCUCUCUGGAGCAGGCCAACAAGGAUUUCGAGGAGAAGGAAAAGAACCUCACCGCCACCGAGGCCAACGUUGCUGCUCUGACCCGUAAGGUCCAACAGGUUGAGGAGGAUCUGGAAAAGUCCGAGGAACGUUCGGGCGCUGCUCUAUCUAAACUGCUGGAGGCUACUCAGUCCGCUGAUGAGAACAAUCGUAUGUGCAAAGUGUUGGAGAACCGUUCCCAGCAGGAUGAGGAGCGUAUGGAUCAGUUGUCCAACCAAUUGAAGGAAGCCCGUAUGCUCGCUGAAGACGCUGACGGCAAGUCUGAUGAAGUGUCCCGCAAGCUGGCCUUCGUUGAAGAUGAGUUGGAAGUCGCUGAAGAUCGUGUCAAGUCCGGUGAGGCCAAGAUCAUGGAGUUGGAAGAAGAGUUGAAGGUCGUCGGUAACUCGCUCAAAUCCCUGGAAGUUUCGGAGGACAAGGCCAACCAGAGAGUCGAGGAGUUCAAGCGUCAGUUGAAGUCCCUCACCAUCAAGCUGAAGGAGGCCGAAACUCGUGCCGAGAAUGCCGAGAAGAAUGUCAAGAAACUCCAGAAGGAAGUCGACAGACUAGAAGACAAACUGAUGAACGAGAAGGAAAAGUACAAAGCGAUCUGCGACGAUUUGGAUUCCACCUUCGCCGAACUUACCGGAUACUAAUUUCUCAAAAAAAAAAACAGCUACUACCGCUACUAUUACUACCACUACUACUACUGCUAAUAGUACUACUACAACCAGCUUGCCCUGUUUUAAACCAUAGCAAAAAAAAGACAACAGCUCAAAUCCAGGCGAUUCGGUUCGUUCCAUCUCCUUCUUUCUAUAUCUCUCUAUCUCUCGCGUUCGCUCAUCCGGGAGCGAACUCGAUGCGGAACGAUUGUUGUACUCCGGGUGCACCCCUCUGGAGCCAAUAUGAUCACCCUGUACCAGUUCCAUUGUUUUAUACUGUUUCAUGUGAUCCGUGUUGCCGAUGAGAAUCAGAUGUUGUAGCUUUAUAUUUUUCAACGGAGCGGAACGGUUAUUUUAUAAUUAUUUAGACGAACUGGGUACCAACAAGGACCGGUACAAGUCCCUGGCCGACGAGAUGGAUUCCACAUUUGCCGAGUUGGCCGGCUACUAAGGAGCGCCGGGUUUUACACAUUCACUGUUCCAGCCUUUGAAGAUGAACAAAAACAGAAAAAAAACACGUAUACACUUACACUUUGCCUCAUCCCAAGGGGUGGUGGAAAGAGCAUUUUUUUUUCAUCCGAAUCUGCAAUAAUUCGCGCCACCGCCCAAUGGGAGAUUAACGACACAAGAGAUUAGAGAGAUAAAUACGACGCCCCGAAAUCGUAAGAACAACUAUGAUCCGAGUAGAAAAUUCAUGUUUUAUCAUAGAAAAGUAUUAGCGAUUAAUUUACGUAAUCAUUUGCAUAGUAGGUAAGAGAUCAUCAUUUUUCGCUUAAAGAAGAAGAAGAAGAAAACGUAUUGUUGUUGUUGCAGCCAUCAAAGAAAAGUUCAUGAUCAAAAGAAGAUUUUUUUAUUCUAUCGCUACUUUUAAAUAUAGAUUAUAUUAUAACAAAAAUAAGUGGAAACCCCUAUUGUUGGAAGAUUUUUAGGCAAUAACAACUGACGCAAUCGAUAAAGAAAAACAAUCAUGUUGGUUUUGCGAUUUAAUAAGAACAAAAAGCCAUCGUCGAGACACUUGAAGAAAAAAUCACUGUAUUACUUCUGUCCAAUACGAAAAACCCGCUCCGGAAUAAAACUACACUCGAUGGAAAAUGCUGUCUGCUCCGAUUCGGUUCGCGUGUGUGCCAUGCAUGCGAGAUUCGAGUUUGAACCUAGGAAGCUCUAUUUCUCUAUUUUUAGAUGAAAUUGAAUUAAAACCUAUUUAUUGUAA